rnacentral:rRNA from 1 species
UACAGAGGGUGCGAGCGUUAAUCGGAAUUACUGGGCGUAAAGCGUGCGUAGACGGUUAUUUAAGUCGGAUGUGAAAGCCCCGGGCUCAACCUGGGAAUUGCAUUCGAGACUGAAUAGCUAGGGUGCGGUAGAGGGAAGCGGAAUUUCCGGUGUAGCGGUGAAAUGCGUAGAUAUCAGGAGGAACACCGGUGGCGAAGGCGGGUCUCUGGGCCGUAACUGACGCUGAGGAGCGAAAGCAUGGGGAGCGAACAGG